GGUGAUUAGCUCAGCUGGGAGAGCACCUCCCUUACAAGGAGGGGGUCGGCGGUUCGAUCCGUUCGGUG
rnacentral:tRNA from 1 species